rnacentral:rRNA from 1 species
CCCUUAGAUGUCCUGGGCCGCACGCGUGCUACACUGACGCCUACAGCGAGUACUUCCCAGCCCCGAGAGGUGGCCGGUAAUCAGCAAUAGGCGUCGUGAUGGGGAUAGAUCUUUGGAAUUAUGGAUCUUGAACGAGGAAUGCCUAGUAAGCGCAGGUCAUUAGCCUGCGCUGAUUAAGUCCCUGCCCUUUGUACACACCGCCCGUCGCUCCUACCGAUUUCGAGUGGUCCGGUGAAUCUUUCGGACUGCGCGCGGCCUCGUGCCGUGUCGCGGAAAGUCAGGUAAACCUUAUCACUUAGAGGAAGGAGAAGUCGUANCA